GUGCCAUUCGGCAGCACAUAUACUAAAAUUGGAGUGAUACAGAGAAGAUUGUCAUGGCCCCUGCACAAGAUGACAUGCAAAUUCAUUAAGCAUUCCAUGUUUUU
ensembl:snRNA U6 U6 spliceosomal RNA